rnacentral:tRNA from 1 species
GGGCGGUUAGCUCAGCUGGCUAGAGCGUUGCGCUCACAUCGCAAAGGUCGCAGGUUCGAGUCCUGCACCGCCCACAA